rnacentral:rRNA from 1 species
GACGAACGCUGGCGGCGUGCUUAACACAUGCAAGUCGAACGAAGUUGCGAACGGGUGAGUAACGCGUAGGUAACUGCCUGGUAGCGGGGGAUAACUAUUGGAAACGAUAGCUAAUACCGCAUACUACCAGCUGGACCUGCGUUGUAUUAGCUAGUUGGUGGGGUAACGGCUCACCAAGGCAACGAUACAUAGCCGACCUGAGAGGGUGACCAGCCACACUGGAACUGAGACACGGUCCAGACUCCUACGGGAGGCAGCAGGGGGGAAUAUUGCACAAUGGGCGCAAGCCUGAUGCAGCCAGGCCGCGUGUGUGAAGAAGGCCUUCGGGUUGUAAAGCACUUUCAGCGGGGAGGCGUUACCCGCAGAAGAAGCACCGGCUAACUCCGUGCCAGCAGCCGCGGUAAUAC